rnacentral:tRNA from 1 species
ACCUGGCUGGCUCAGCGGUAGAGCAUGCGACUCUUAAUCUCAAGGUCAUGGGUUUAAGCCCCAUGUUGGACA